rnacentral:lncRNA from 1 species
GUGAUGGACAGGGAGGCCUGGCAUGCUUCAGUUCAUGGGGUUGCAAAGAGCUGGAUAUGACUGAGCAACUGAACUGAACUAUCUUACUAUGAGCAACCUAGGAGACACUCACUCACUUCCAGUUAGUGAAAUACUAAGUUCUGAAUUCAGGUUUUCAUCGUCAACUCCUUGGACACCUCACUAGUUUUCCUGCUUCUGUCUUUUAUCCUUUGUAUCCAUUCUGUAUACCAGUUGCAUAUAUUCUUUGCAGAGAGCAACUCUCUGGUGCUGAAAUUGUGUUUCAGUGGCUCCUACUUGCCUUCAGGAUAAAGCCCAAAUUCCUUAGAACUGUAAAGUUUUUUCUCUUGGCAGCUGACUGAUGCCGAACCUCUUGCCUGUCUCCAGUCACACUAGGCUAUUUCAGGACUUUGUGCCUCUGAUCACCCUGUUUCUGGGGCCAUGGCCACCCUCUUCCACCCUCUGUGCCUCAUUCUGGUCUAUAUCUAAAAUCACCCCCAACAUGGGGGUGGCCCAGCCCUCUGCCACCUCACCUUCCAUGACAACACUCAGAGGAGCUAAUUAUGUUCCCAUAUCCAUGUGUUUAUAGGAAUUUCCAUCCCUCUUGCUAGACCAUGCAUUCCCUCAAUGCUGGGCUCCUUUGCACUCCAGUGCGUGUCCUGGUACUUGCUGUAUGCUUGUCUGAGUAUUUGUGGAAUCAGUGGCUGCCAUUUUUACAUGCUUUUUGUACUCUGGUUUAAAGUUUUCUCUUUCUCUACUUCAGUAGUAAUAACACGUUCUGCCAGGCCCCACAACUUUUAUAUAAGGUAUUAAUAAAUUAGAUAAGUAUAUAGCUCUGCCAUACAUAUGUUGUCAGGUGGUCAAACGUUCAACUUAUUUGUUGUGUAAGGUGUAGUUUACUUUGAAAGCAGGCCUGAUUAACAUCUUCACUAACUGUGUUCUGUGUUCUAGAAGAUAGUGCAGCCUUAGAUAUAAAAUCAUCUAAAGUGUCUGACUUGAUUGUUUCUGUUAGAAUUGGGAACAUAAAGUUUUUAAAUUUUUUUAACCUUCCUAUGCCCCAAGGAGAACUAGUUCUCAAAUUCUUAAUUCUUCUGAUCAUUUUAGUUACUUGAAAAAACAAACCCAACCAGAUCUCACUGUUGAGGCCAAAAUCUGAUAAUUUAAAGUCAACUACUCUCUUACUUGGCAGCUCUGUUCAUUUUCUAUUGCUACAUAACAAAUUACCGCAUUCUUAGCAGCUUGAAACAAUACCUGUUUAUCAGCUCACAGUUCUGUAAGUCAGAAGUUAGGGCUGCACACUGGACUGAAACCAUGCUGUUGGCCAAGUCUGCUGUUCUCAUUUGGGGAUUCAAGCUCUCUUGUAAGAUGUCUGGUAUUGACAGAACUCAUUUCUUUGCAUUGAAGUCCUUGUUAGCCUUCUGGCUGUUGGCUGGGGACCACACUCACUCCUAGAAGCCACUGGCAGUUUCUUCUAGUGUGGCCCUAAUGGGCAGUUCAUGACACAUUUGCUCUUUUCCAGGCUAGCUCAAGCACAUCCCUGACAGCUUCUGUGACCAGAGAACUUACUCUCCUUUAAAAAGGUGCAUUUGAUUAGAUCGGGUCCACCCAGUGUAGCUGUCCUUUUGCCAUAUAACAUAAUUGAAAGAGUGAUAUCAUAUUCAAGGGCUACCUACACCCAGAGGAAUAGGGAAUUAAACAGGGUACCAGUGCAUUCUAAAGGAGAUCAGCCCUGGGAUUUCUUUGGAAGGAAUG